UCCUCGAUGCAUUUGUAUUAAUAUUUUACAUCAAAAUAAAUCAAAAAAUGAGAAAAGCUAUCCCGUGAUAAACCACAGAGCCAGGACCGUAAACCACGAUAAACCACAGUGCAAGGAGCCGUUUUGCUUAAUAUUUUUAAGGAUGCUUUUGAUCUCAACCUCAACAAAUCCCUCAUCUAUCGCAUCCCGAGCAAUUAAGAGUUUUAAACUGUAUAGAGCGGUGAAAGAGAGAGAAAUAGGAAGAAAUAGAAUAUUACGCUUUAAAAUUUGGUCGUGGAAUAAAAAAAUAUUGUCAAACUUUAUCAUCAGGCGAAUGAGAAGAAGAACACUUUGAUAUUUCGGGAGGCCAAAGCAUGUUACAUUUCGUUAUCUUGGAAAAAUUGAAUGGCAAAUACAAAAAGGAUCAAGUAUUCACUUUCAUAAUGAACAACAUUUCCAUAAACAAGCAAUGAACUAUAGUGAUUCAGCAACUAAAUAUUUGAAUUAUUAAGCACGGAACAUAACUCUACCAGUUUAAUUUAAUAUGAGUGGGCUUUUAUAACAACUUAUAAUGCCAGUUUUCUUCUAUAAUACGUACAUAUCGGAUUAUCUUUUAUUGUAGAUGUUACAUGAUGAAACGGAAUGGAUUUUAAACAAUUGAAAUGUUACAACAAGAAGACGUGAGUGCAGUUAAUAAAAAUAGAUUUUAAUAGACUCUGCAAUUUCAAAAUGUUUUAAACCAAACGUUUAAUAUAACUAGUGAAUUUUUCAAUUGUAAUA